GGAGGUAUAGCUCAAGUGGUAGAGCACAUGCUUAGCAUGCAUGCAGUCCCAGGUUCAAUCCCCAGUACCUCCU
rfam:Camelus ferus unplaced genomic scaffold scaffold678, whole genome shotgun sequence.